rnacentral:misc_RNA from 1 species
UGUAGGAAUGAGCCUGCUCGCGAUGGCGUCGUGUCAGUUAACAAAUAGCUGCCUGAUUCACCGCCAUCGCGAGCAGGCUCACUCCUACA